UUCAUUCUCUGAUCAGGAGAUUUCUGCAGGAAUAGGGAUAAAGAGUGGGCAAGUUAGCCAAUUAAUAGCUUGUGGAAAGAGAAGCAUAACCUGUAGCCUUUCCUGGUAUUGCAAACCUCUUAGGGCAUAUUAUAUGCCAUAGUAUAAAAAGGGUUGGAUUUUUGAUUCAGUGGAUAUGGAUUUGAACUUAAGCUUUUCUGCUUACAAGCUCUAUGACAUGGAGUGUUACUUCAUCUCUUGUGGUUUCAAUUUUUUUUCCUACAUACAACAACCAGGAUACCCCUCUCAUUGAUGACCAUCCAGGUCCUAGGAACUCUGCAGAUCUGUAUGACUAACUCUCAAGCCCCCACUGAAGUGUUACCUUUUUUCAGCAACAAGGGCUAUUUCUCACAAGUGGCUGCUCCAAAUUCUAGGAACCUUAUGGAUCUGCAUGAAUGGAACUCACAAGCCCCCACUAAUUUUUUAAUUUUUGUUUCUUUUAUCCCUUCUAGUGAACUAGAGAACAUAAUUAGUAUAAACUUCAGAGGCUCUUUAACCUUGGGUCCAUAAAUUUAAAAAUGUAUUUAAUAUAUUUCAAUGUAUUUGAAAUGUAUUUCAAUAUAAUUGAUCUCCUUUGUAACUUAUGUAUUUAAGAACAUUAUUCCAAAGAGAUCCAUAAGCUUCAUUAAACUGCCAAAGAGUUCCAGGACACAUACUAAAAAAAAAAAAAAAAAUUGAUAACUUGUAGUUUAAAGAAAAGCAAUCUAAUGCUUUUCUAAUAAUAAAAUAAAGUAAUAUAAGUAACAAAAUAUUUCUUGCCAUAAACCUAGAGCAAAUUAUCCCUCAAAUACAAGCACCAUCAAGUGGGAAGAAUGGAUAUCUGUAAGAAACACUUGAGAAACACAGAUAUAAAGAACCAGUGUAUGGAAUAUGCAUGUUGGAGGGGAUAAUGCACAUACAAAAAGACAUAGAGAACACACAUGGGUGAGUCUAGUUCUGCCCAAAUCAAUAAACAUAUGGAAGGAAGGAAGGAGAUGGAGAAGAAAAAGAGAACUUAAUCAAAUGGCAGAAUGGGGAAAGCAUUUGAAUCUAGCAUUUGGUCAAAUCCUGCCCUUUAUCUCUUGUAAUACGACCAUGGAGAAGACAGUUUUUCUCUCUGAGCUUCAGAUCCCUCAGCUAUAAACAGGGAUAAUAAUAUUUAACCUACCUACAUUACAAAGUUCUUGUAAGUAAUGCUCUUUUUUUUUCCUUUUUAUCCUGAAGCAGCAUAGAAAUAUAAACUGUUUUCUUUGCUUCAUUAAAGCACUUGCAAUAGUACUCCUUUAAAUCGAGUCUUUUGUCUUGAGGUAAUAAAAAAUCAAUUUACACAAAAUUUGUGGGAAUAUAUAUGGAAUCAAAGUUUAGACCAAAGAAAAGAAAACCCUAUGUGGGACUAGCAAGUUUAUCACCUUGGAUAAAUUGAGAUCUCUAGGCCUUGCUUUCCUCAUUUGUAAAAUGAAGGGGUUGGAAUGCGUGGUUUUUUUUCUUGCUUUGUCUUCUAUUUCUAUGAUUCUGUGAUUAAUGAUCUAAAUUCUUCUAGUUAUUAUUUUUUAAACAUUAUGGUCUUCUAGUAUAGAAGCUGUGUGUUUAUUUCAGCAGUUAAAAUUACCUUAUUACUUUCUUUCUUUAUCUGCACCAGAACAUAUCUAAUGUUAAUCUUAGAUAUAGCUAUUAUAAGUCUUCUUCUCACAGUUUAUCUUGCCACUUCUCACAAAAAUGUCUCCCAGGAUUCAUCAUCUUCUAUGAUCCUUUCUUAAAGUUAUCUGAGGUGAAAUCAAUUAAAAUAAAGCUCACAUUAAUAAAUAAGUGCUAUUUAAUAUUAUUGCUCUUAUUUGUUUACUAUAUUUAAUAAUAUCAAUGUUGUUGUGUAUAAGAUAUUCUAUGCAGAAUCAGGGGUACAAAGACAAAAAUAAAGAAUUCCAUACCCUCAA